rnacentral:rRNA from 1 species
CCUACGGGAGGCAGCAGUGGGGAAUAUUGCACAAUGGGCGAAAGCCUGAUGCAGCGACGCCGCGUGAGGGAUGACGGCCUUCGGGUUGUAAACCUCUUUCAGCAGGGAAGAAGCGCAAGUGACGGUACCUGCAGAAGAAGCACCGGCUAACUACGUGCCAGCAGCCGCGGUAAUACGUAGGGUGCGAGCGUUGUCCGGAAUUAUUGGGCGUAAAGAGCUCGUAGGCGGCUUGUCACGUCGGAUGUGAAAGCUCGGGGCUUAACCCCGAGUCUGCAUUCGAUACGGGCUAGCUAGAGUGUGGUAGGGGAGAUCGGAAUUCCUGGUGUAGCGGUGAAAUGCGCAGAUAUCAGGAGGAACACCGGUGGCGAAGGCGGAUCUCUGGGCCAUUACUGACGCUGAGGAGCGAAAGCGUGGGGAGCGAACAGGAUUAGAUACCCUGGUAGUCCACGCCGUAAACGUUGGGAACUAGGUGUUGGCGACAUUCCACGUCGUCGGUGCCGCAGCUACGACAUUAACGUUACCCGUCCGUCGGGAGGUACGGCCGGCGACGGACGUAAACCGUUAAAACGGUAAAGUUAGUUACGGUCGUUGAGACGUUGCCGACGGCGACGACGAGGGAGGAGG